CGGGUUAACGUCCCAAUAACGAGCGCCAACCCCUAUCUAUUAGUUGCCAUCAGGUCGGCGUGGGCACUCUAUGGAGACUGCCAACCUAAAGUGGAGGAAGGUGGGAUGACGUCAAGUCAGCAUCGGCCCUUACGGUCCGGGGCUACACACGUGCUACAAUGGCCGGUAACAAAGGGUUGCGAAGCCGUGAGGUGGAGCGAAUCUCAAAAAGCCGGCCUCAGUUCGGAUUGGAGGCUGCAACUCGCCUCCAUGAAGUCGGAAUCGCUAGUAAUCGUGAAUCAGAAUGUCACGGUGAAUACGUUCCCGGGCCUU
rnacentral:rRNA from 1 species